rnacentral:ncRNA from 2 species
AUUUGAAUAACGAGUAAAGGUUCCUUGCAUACCUGCAAGGAUAAAAGGGAAGCCGGUGUAAAUCCGGCGCGGUCCCGCCACUGUAAAUGCUAGCUUGUCUGCAAAAAACCACUGAGCGAUCGGGAAGGGGUAGAUAGGUGCUGAUGCAUAAGCCAGGAGACCUGCCUUUACGAUAACCCCACA